GAAGGGUAGCUCAGUGGCAGAGUGCUUGCUUUGCAUGCAAGAGCCCUGGGUUUGAUUCUUAACACCCUUCC
rnacentral:tRNA from 1 species